rnacentral:lncRNA from 1 species
GGAGAAAUGUCAUGACCUUGAUUACAACUGGUACCGUUCAGCAACCGAACUGCAAAAGCAAUUUCACCCCAGCACCACCGAGGUCCUUGUCCAUAAGACAGUUCAGAGAAGGAAGCUUCUGGGAAUGGUGAGAACACCCACGCUGCACACAGAAAAAAGGAUGACCCUCAGACUGUAACAUGGACCCAAAAUCAUGGUGAUUUCCAGAUAAUCCAUCACUGGCAGCAGAAUGAGUGGAGAACAGGACCGGGGACCAUCACAGAGUACUUCUACCAUGGAGGCGUGCUCGGUCUGCAGCAGCGUUACUCAGCAUCACAUCUCACCUUCUCCACAGACACCCUGUGGACAGACACUUUCAUAGAAUCAUAGAAUGGUUUGGGUUGGAAGGGACCUUAAAGAUCAUCGAGUUCCAACCCCCCUGCCAUGGGCAGGGACACCUCCCACUAGACCAGGUUGCCCAAAGGCUAG